UCCGGUUUGUCACCGGCAGUCUCCUAUGAGUCCCCGCCUUUAAGCGCUGGCAACAUGGAACGAGGGUUGCGCUCGUUGCGGGACUUAACCCAACAUCUCACGACACGAGCUGACGACAACCAUGCACCACCUGUGAACCGGCCCCAAAGGGGAAGGACUGUUUCCAGCCCGGUCCGGCCCAUGUCAAGCCUUGGUAAGGUUCUUCGCGUCGCGUCGAAUUAAACCACAUGCUCCACUGCUUGUGCGGGCCCCCGUCAAUUCCUUUGAGUUUUAAUCUUGCGACCGUACUCCCCAGGCGGAGAGCUUAAUGCGUUAGCUGCGCCACUGAAGAGUAAACUCUCCAACGGCUAGCUCUCAUAGUUUACGGCGUGGACUAC
rnacentral:misc_RNA from 1 species